UCGUGAGACAGUUCGGUCCCUAUCCACCAUGGGCGUAAGGUAUUUGAGGAGAGCUGUUCCCAGUACGAGAGGACCGGAAUGGACGAACCGCUGGUGAACCGGUUGUGGCGCCAGCCGCAUAAGCCGGGUAGCUAUGUUCGGACCGGAUAACCGCUGAAAGCAUCUAAGUGGGAAGCCGCCUUCGAGAUGAGAUACCUGAUCCUGAGAAGGAGUAAGAUGUCCGGAAGACGACCGGAUAGAUAGGCCGGGGGUGUAAGCGUUGAGAGGCGUUGAGCUGACCGGUACUAAUACGUCGAGCCUUUUUUCUCC
rnacentral:rRNA from 1 species